UACGGGGGGGGCAAGCGUUGUUCGGAAUUACUGGGCGUAAAGGGCGCGUAGGCGGCCUUCUAAGUCGGACGUGAAAUCCCUCGGCUCAACCGAGGAACUGCGUCUGAUACUGGAAGGCUUGAAUCCGGGAGAGGGAUGUGGAAUUCCAGGUGUAGCGGUGAAAUGCGUAGAUAUCUGGAGGAACACCGGUGGCGAAGGCGGCAUCCUGGACCAGCACUGACGCUGAGGAGCGAAAGCCAGGGGAGCAAACGGG
rnacentral:rRNA from 1 species